AAAAAGUGAAACUGUUUCUUUACAUUUUCUUCAAGUCCCAUCCUCCCUCCCGGGAUUAGAGAUAGAAUUAAAAACAUCCAAUUCCAUCUAGGAGUGAUAGCUUUUUAAAAUCAAAGCAUGUAAAAGUAAGGUUCACCCAGAUUUUUACCGUUUUAAGUGUUGCAAAUUCCAAAUACCUUUCAGUAGUGAAAGGUGUUUUGUUUUCUUCCCGUGUAGAAACGCAGUGUUGAUCACCCACGUGCAUGAAUGGCCUAGGUAAUAACUUUCCGCUGAGUCGAAUAAUGUCUAAAAUUGGUCUCACGCAUUCCCUCCACUGGCAAUCACACGCCUCAAGAACGGACUUCAAGGCCAGUUUGACGUCCGCCGAUUUGCUCCCUACCCUCAGGACGGAGGGUGGAAGUAGGGCUCCUGAACACCGGAAGGCGGCUCACAAGAUUUCCUGCCUUCUCCACCCGUUUUCACCGCUUUCCGACCGCCACGUCCAGCAGAACUUCUAGCUCCUCUGUGCCACAGUUGUCUCAUCUGUAAGCCAGGGCGUAUAACAGUAAAUUUAGGAGUAGCUAACAGGAUUUUUAUGAGAUUUUGAUGACAACCUGUAUGUAAACACAGUAAGGUAUCGGGAAUUGAACUCAGGACCUUGUGCUUGAGAGCCAGAAGGUAAGGGAAGAAAUGAACGACUGGACUGAGUGCUGAAGUGAUGAAGAAAGACAAAGACUGCCAAUCAUGAAAGCUAAGGCCAUCAGUUGGAAAAGGACUCUAGCUGUCUAGCCCGGAAUGGAGACUGACUCCAAUUACAGAGGAAAUAUCAGUGUGUCUCCAGGUCCGUACAACUUCCAUGCCUGAAGGAAUAUCCCCAGUCGGGACUCCAGAAGCAGGGGAAAGCUGCCACCUUGGUGAUGAGGAGUUUAAAGUCUGAUCCUUUGUACGGAGCAGCUGUCAGCAGACCUCUCGUCCCACCUCCCGAUGAGCCCUCAGGGAUGAGGAGCACACAUCUUGGUUGUUCACCACAGGGGUUGGUGGUCCGGGUCCAGGCACUCACUCGGAUUCUGAUAGUCAAUAAAUGUCUGUUUAACAAGUAAAAAAAAAAAUCAACUCGAACUAAUGCUUACCAUUUAACUUUAUUCUUAAAAAAACCCAUUUCUUACUUUUGUAUUAAAUAAACAAAAUACAAUCAUUAUACACUAUAAAUACCAAUAAGAAGAAAAAAAUUGUUCAAGGUCUUAGCAUUCAGAGAAGACAUGGGUAUCUAUAACAACACACACACACACAUACACACAUACACAAGCAGAGGGAACAUUUUCCCCCAUGCAAAUAUGUAUCUCUAUGAUACAUAAAUAAUCACAUCUAAACCAAAGUAGUAUUACAAACUCUAUAGAUGUUUAGUAUAAUUUCUUGAUUUAAUUCCAGACUUUUCCACUUUAUAGGCUACAUGACCUCAUUCAAAUUGCUGACCUCUUUUAUUUGUCAGUUUCAAGUGUUGUUGGCACUAAGGAGGAAUGUAUAUAAAGUGUGUGGCCUUUAUUGCAGGACUCACAGCAUCCGAGUUCUCUUCAAUGCUCCCCUUUUAAGGACCUCUCUAAUGGUAAAAUGGCAGCAUGAUUAAUUCCUAUCACUCCUCUUCUCUCUCGGCUACUUUGAUUCACUAUGCCUUUAAUUCUUCACAUGCUGAGUUUUGAAAUUCCUCUGAACUAUUGAUGACUUAGGGAUGGAAGAGAUUAGCUCAACUGAGACAAAAUAUACCUUCAGGAAGGUUCUUUUUCUGGAUAGGAUUCAUCAGAUUGAGAGUUAUACUUGUAUCUUAUACUUGCUCAUGUUCCUCAUAUGUCCACGUGAUAUGCUUUGAACAUAAAGUUUGGUGACAUGAAAAGACACGGAGUAGUCUACCAAGUAACAGUUAACCAAUGCAGAGAAAGUUAAUUUGGUGUCCUAAAUGAGUUAUUCAUGUUCUUUAGCUUUAGAAGAAGCAACUGAAUGAGCUGAUAAAAAAUUUCAUAUUCUAUUGCCUGAAGUGUAGAAAUUUUUUUGGCUUUGCUUUUAUGCCCUUAUAGGAUUAAAUAUCUUUUCAUCAAGUUGGCAUUUGCUGUCUUCUAUUUGUCAGUACAAAGUGUGUUAAGGCAAAAGAUGAAAGAAGUGCUCUAAAAAACUGAAAUCUCUCCAGUGAUGGUUACAGCAGAAAGCAUCCAUUACAAUUUUAUAAUGAAAGCCCUUGAUGAAAUACACA